GGGGUUGUAGCUCAGCUGGAUAGAGCACUGGUUUCCUAAACCGGGGGUCGGAGGUUCGAAUCCUCUCAAUCCUA